UACGUACGAGGCGAGCGUUAUCCGGAAUUACUGGGCGUAAAGCGCGCGCAGGUGGCUUGCUAAGUCGGACGUGAAAUCUCCCGGCCUAACUGGGAGGGGUCGUCCGAGACUGGCCGGCUUGAGGCUGGCAGAGGUAGGUGGAAUUCCUGGUGUAGUGGUGAAAUGCGUAGAGAUCGGGAGGAACACCAGUGGCGAAGGCGGCUACCUGGACCAGCACUGACACUGAGGCACGAAAGCGUGGGGAGCAAACAGG
rnacentral:rRNA from 1 species